UACAGAGGUCCCAAGCGUUGUUCGGAUUCACUGGGCGUAAAGGGUGCGUAGGUGGCCGGUUAAGUCUGACGUGAAAUCUCCGAGCCUAACUCGGAAACUGCAUCGGAAACUAUCCGGCUCGAGGGUUGGAGGGGGGACUGGAAUACUUGGUGUAGCAGUGAAAUGCGUAGAUAUCAAGAGGAACACCAGUGGCGAAGGCGGUUGCCUGGAGCUUUGCUGACGCUGAGGCGCGAAAGCGUGGGGAGCGAUCCGG
rnacentral:rRNA from 1 species